GACAUCUACCUGAGCUCGAAGAGAUAGGAUAUAGUCCAGGGUUUCUUCAAUCAGAGAGGUUUCAUCCAUGAAUUCUCCUCCAGGUACCAGACUCUUCAAUACUUGACUUCUCUUUCUCACCAACCUUUUCGCAAUACAACUACUUGAUAGACUACUGUUACUUUUUCUUGCAGCUCUUCUCAUAGGACCAGACCUCCUCUUCAAUAUAUUCUUCUUGCUCCUGAUAACCCUGAUCUUUCUUGCCAACGCCAUUGAUGUUCCUACUGGCAAUUGCUUGGUUAGCUUUCUAGACUCGUCGUCACCCAAUACGUGCUCCACCAC
rnacentral:lncRNA from 1 species